rnacentral:rRNA from 1 species
AGAGUUUGAUCCUGGCUCAGGAUGAACGCUGGCGGCAUGCCUAAUACAUGCAAGUCGAACGAGGGUCCUUCGGGACUCGAGUGGCGAACGGGUGAGUAACACGUAGGGAACCUGCCCGUGCGACCGGGAGAACUUUCGGAAACGGAAGCUGAUACCGGAUAGGGACAGAGACGGCAUCGACUCUGUGUUAAAGGAGCUGAAAGGCUCCGCGCACGGAUGGACCUGCGGUGCAUUAGCUAGUUGGUGAGGUAACGGCCCACCAAGGCGACGAUGCAUAGCCGGCCUGAGAGGGCGGACGGCCACACUGGGACUGAGACACGGCCCAGACUCCUACGGGAGGCAGCAGUAGGGAAUUUUCGUCAAUGGGCGCAAGCCUGAACGAGCAAUGCCGCGUGAACGAGGAAGGUCUUCGGAUCGUAAAGUUCUGUUGAAGGGGAAAAAGAGCGGAGAGAGGAAAUGGUCUCCGAUUGAUAUUACCCUUCGAGGAAGUCACGGCUAACUACGUGCCAGCAGCCGCGGUAAUACGUAGGUGGCGAGCGUUAUCCGGAAUGAUUGGGCGUAAAGGGUGCGUAGGCGGCCUGCUAAGUCUGGAGUGAAAGGUACCGGCUCAACCGGUACAGGCUCUGGAAACUGGCGGGCUAGAGAGCAGGAGAGGGCGGUGGAACUCCAUGUGUAGCGGUAAAAUGCGUAGAUAUAUGGAAGAACACCAGUGGCGAAGGCGGCCGCCUGGCCUGUUACUGACGCUGAGGCACGAAAGCGUGGGGAGCAAAUAGGAUUAGAUACCCUAGUAGUCCACGCCGUAAACGAUGAGGACCAAGUGUUGGGGAAGACCCAGUGCUGCAGUUAACGCAGUGAGUCCUCCGCCUGGGGAGUAUGCACGCAAGUGUGAAACUCAAAGGAAUUGACGGGGGCCCGCACAAGCGGUGGAGUAUGUGGUUUAAUUCGAAGCAACGCGAAGAACCUUACCAGGCCUUGACAUAGGGUGCGAAGCUGUGGAGACAUAGUGGAGGUAAACAUCCAUACAGGUGGUGCAUGGUUGUCGUCAGCUCGUGUCGUGAGAUGUUCAGUUAAGUCUGGCAACGAGCGCAACCCUCGUGAUGUGUUACCAAUAUCGAGUUAGGGACUCACAUCAGACUGCCGGUGAGAAACCGGAGGAAGGCGGGGAUGACGUCAAAUCAUCAUGCCCCUUAUGGCCUGGGCUACACACGUACUACAAUGGCGGCGACAGAGGGCAGCGAGCCUGCGAAGGCAAGCGAAUCCCAAAAAAGCCGUCCCAGUUCGGAUUGGAGUCUGCAACCCGACUCCAUGAAGUUGGAAUCGCUAGUAAUCGCGGAUCAGCAUGCCGCGGUGAAUACGUUCUCGGGCCUUGUACACACCGCCCGUCAAACCAUGGGAGUGGGCAAUGCCCGAAGCCGGUGGCGCAACCCUUAAAAGGGAGCGAGCCGUCGAAGGCAGGGCCGAUGACUGGGGUUAAGUCGUAACAAGGUAUCCCUACGGGAACGUGGGGAUG